AAUAGAAGGGGAGACAGAUAGAGGAGGAGAGAGAGAGGGGAAAUAGAGGAGGAGACCGAGAGGGGAAAUAGAGGGGGAGACAGAUAGAGAGAGAGGAAAUAGAGGAGACAGAUAGAGAGAGAGGAAAUGGAGGAGGAGACAGAUAGAGAGAGAGGAAAUCGAGGGGGAGACAGAUAGAGAGAGGAAAUAGAGGUGGAGACAGACAGAGAGAGAGAGAGCAAGAGAGGGAGAGAUACAGAGGGGGGGACAUAGAGGUGGAGACAGAUAGAGAGAGAGGAAAUAGGGUGGGAGACAGAGGGAGAGAGGAAAUAGAUGGGGAGACAGAGAGAGAGAGGAAAUAGAGGGGGAGACAGAUAGAGAGAGAGGAAAUAGAGGGGGAGACAGAGGAAAUAGAUGGGGAGACAGAGAGAAGAAAUAGAGGGGGAGACAGAGAGAGAGAGGAAAUAGAGGGGGAAACAGAGAGAGAGAGAGAGAGAGGAAAUAGAGGGGGAGACAGAUAUAGAGGAAAUAGAGGGGGAGACAGAGAGAGAGAAGAAAUAGAGGGGGAGACAGAGAGAGAGAGAGAAUUGGCGAGAAAGAACAAAAGAGACAGGCAGUUAGCGCAAAAAAAUAUGUUAUCGCCGUGGCAACGCUUAACUCUCCAUGGCAACAGCAGGUGGCUCAGGGCUGUAUUUUUCUGUUUGUGUUGUUUUUGUUACCUGCUUUUGUCCAUCUCUGGUUAAAACAUCAGAGAAGAGAGAGAGAGAGAACAGGAGGAGAGGUUCUAGACCUCCAAAUCCGCUCUUUCUUCCUGUCUUUCAGAUGGGCUCAGGAACAAUAGAAUAGCUAAUAUUACACCGUGACUUUACUCUCUCAGUGAGUGGUGUAAUGAGAACAGCUCAGUAAAGUGGAGUAUAGUGUCUCUCUGGGGCUAAUAGAAAAUAGUGUCUCUUUGCUCCUGAAGGAGUUGAGUUUGUUCCGUCUCUAAUCUACUUUGUCUCUCUGUCGUCCUGGAGGAGUUUGUUCAGUCUCACUGUGUCUCCUAAUGGUCCUAAAAGGGUUUGUUCAGUCAGUCUGUACUAAGCCUGUAAAGUAGCUGCCCACAGCACCAGUGAGUCUUGGACAGUCCCAGCUGAAACCUUCCGUGAUUCACAAAGUCAAGUCUGUGAGAGCUCACCGGACUAUGCUCACUAAUCUGGAUCCGAAGACCACUGAACACUGUCUGCAAACCUUACAGCUCCGCUACAGACUUGAGAGACUUACCUCACCUUCUGUGUGUGUGUGUGUGUGUGUGUGUGUGUGUGUGUGUGUGUGUGUGUGUGUGUGUGUGUGUGUGUGUGUGUGUGUGUGUGUGUGUGUGUGUGUGUGUG